CCAGUCAUAGCUCAGUCAUUCCAGUACACAACAUGACUAUGGCCACUGAUAACCUAUGGCCAUUACUGGCCUGAAGAUUACCACAGGCCACCCUUCCUCCAUUUGUGGCCCUGAGACACACUCAUCAACUCCUAGUAGCUCUGUUAAAAUAAAAGCUGGAGUUCAGUUUCCCUUUGCCCUGUCUGGCAGCAGGGGCCCAGCUUCACCAGCCUGGGAGGCAAGGUUACUAACAGACUCCUGGGGAUGGGCUCCUUAUGGCCACGCCCACACACACUCACUACAUGGAGCUACUCCGGCCAAGGCCAGAUGCAGAACUUCACCUUCAGGAACCUCUGGCCUGGACCAGAAGGAAGAGUGAACUUCCACUAGGAUCCUGAAGAAGUGGAGAAGGAGGCUGCCCCACCCCUCUGCCAGGCGUGGCCUUACCCUCUGUCCUGAGCUUCUUCCUUUGGGCCUUAGGGUCUGGUCAUAAGGCCCGAGAAGAGAUUCGCAGCUCUGACACCUGCUUCCCUCUCUCUGAGGCUUGGCUUCCUCAUCUUCUGAGGGGACAUCAUGUGUGCCUGGAAGGCCAUGAUGCUCAUGUGACCGUCAGUGCCGGGUCCCCUCACCCCAGUGGGUUCCAGAUCCUGGUGCCACUCUCCUGGGGUAUUAGACCUUUCCUUACACAGACCCUGUUUUUGUUUUGCUCAGUUUUGUUAUGUUUUCAAAAUAAACGUCUAGGCUUGUCUCAAA
rnacentral:lncRNA from 1 species